rnacentral:rRNA from 1 species
UACGUAGGGCGCGAGCGUUGUCCGGAAUCAUUGGGCGUAAAGAGCUCGUAGGCGGCCGGUUGCGUCUGCUGUGAAAUCCCGGGGCUUAACCCCGGGCGGUGCAGUGGAUACGGGCUGGCUGGAGGCAGGCAGGGGAGAAUGGAAUUCCCGGUGUAGCGGUGAAAUGCGUAGAUAUCAGGAGGAAUACCGAUGGCGAAGGCAGCCCCCUGGGUCGAUACUGACGCUCAUGCACGAAAGCGUGGGGAGCAAACAGG